rnacentral:rRNA from 1 species
CCCUUAGAUGUCCUGGGCCGCACGCGCGCUACACUGAUGCAUUCAACGAGUAUUUCCUUGGCCGAGAGGCCUGGGCAAUCUUUUAAACCUGCAUCGUGAUAGGGAUAGAUUAUUGCAAUUAUUAAUCUUGAACGAGGAAUUCCUAGUAAACGCAAAUCAUCAAUUUGCAUUGAUUACGUCCCUGCCCUUUGUAUACACCGCCCGUCGCACCUACCGAUUGAAUGGUCCGGUGAAAUCUCGGGAUUGUGGCCAGUUCACUUUAUUGGGAGUUGGCUGCGAGAACUUGCUUAAACCUUAUCAUUUAGAGGAAGGUGAAGUCGUAACA